GACGAACCGUGCGAACGUUAUUCGGAAUCACUGGGCUUAAAGCGCGUGUAGGCGGCCCGGCACGUCCGUCGCUGAAAUCCCCCGGCUCAACCGGGGAAGUGGCGUGGAUACGACCGGGCUGGAGGGGGGUAGGGGGAGCCGGAACUUCCGGUGGAGCGGUGAAAUGCGUUGAGAUCGGAAGGAACGCCCGUGGCGAAAGCGGGCUCCUGGACCCCACCUGACGCUGAGACGCGAAAGCCAUGGGAGCGAACGGG
rnacentral:rRNA from 1 species